AUACUUACCUGGCAGGGGAGACACUAUGAUCACAAAGGUGGUUUUCCCAGGGUUAGGCUCAUAUUCCAGGUGUGCUGACCCCUGCAAUUUCCCCAAAUGCAGGAAAUUCAACUCUAUAAUCGGUGGUUGGGGGGACUGUGUUUGCAAUUUCCCAUG
ensembl:snRNA U1 U1 spliceosomal RNA